UUCCGGGUUUCGGGUUCGGGUUUUGAUAUAUCUACACGGGUUAUCUCACGGGUACCCGGAAAAUAUGAACAUUACAAAAAUACCCCUUAUUUUUAAUAUAUUUACAAAACUGCCAUUUCUAAACCUAACCCUAACCCUAAUUAUCUAACACUCUUGUCUCUCUCCUCGAUUUGGCUUUUCUGCGCCUCCUCUCUCGGUCUCUCUCACACUGUCGACCGUCGCCUGAAAUUGAGCUCCUCCUAUUCUCUUUCCGUCCGUCGUCGCCUGAGCUUCAGCCUCCAUCGUUGCCGUGCUCUCUGUUCGUCCGCCUCCUCUCUCUCGGUAAAAGCCUCUCCCUCGUCGCCUUGUGCUUCCGUCUUCUCCCUCGUCGCCUUGUGCUUCCGUCUUCUCCCUCGUCGCGAAUCUCUUUGUUCGACCGAGUUGGAAGCACUCUGUUCGUCCGCCUCCUUUUUCUCCAUCGUCGGUGCUCUCUUUCUCUCCCACGGUUCGACCGUCUCCGUCUCCAUCGUCUCUUCCUUGCUCCGCCUGUCUUCGCCGUCGCCGUUUUCUUUCUCUCCCUCGGUUCGUUUGUCUCCAUCUUCGCGGCUCUCUUUCUCUCCUCGGUUCAAUGUCUCCGUCUCCAUCCCAGUUGGAACCUCUCUGUUCGACCUUUUUUUCGACCGAGUUCUCUGUUAAGAUAUGUCUUCCAUGGCAGAUAACUCAAAUACAGAAGUAUUGAAUUUAUGGAUUUUAUUUUUGUAUGUUGAAUUUAUGGAUUUUAUGUUUCGGAUGUUGUUGAUGUACAGUUGUUU